AUUGAACGCUGGCGGCAUGCCUUACACAUGCAAGUCGAACGGCAGCACGGGAGCAAUCCUGGUGGCGAGUGGCGAACGGGUGAGUAAAGUAUCGGAACGUGCCCAGUCGUGGGGGAUAACGUAGCGAAAGUUACGCUAAUACCGCAUACGAUCUAUGGAUGAAAGCGGGGGAUCGCAAGACCUCGCGCGAUUGGAGCGGCCGAUAUCAGAUUAGGUAGUUGGUGGGGUAAAGGCUCACCAAGCCGACGAUCUGUAGCUGGUCUGAGAGGACGACCAGCCACACUGGGACUUAGACACGGCCCAGACUCCUACGGGAGGCAGCAGUGGGGAAUCUUGGACAAUGGGCGAAAGCCUGAUCCAGCCAUGCCGCGUGCAGGAUGAAGGCCUUCGGGUUGUAAACUGCUUUUGUACGGAACGAAAAGGUUUGGCCUAAUAAGCUGAGCUCAUGACGGUACCGUAAGAAUAGGCACCGGCUAACUACGUGCCAGCAGCCGCGGUAA
rnacentral:rRNA from 1 species